GGUGGCACCUGUGUCCUCCCGGAUGCUCGUCAGAUUCGUUUCUGCGGAGCCAUGGCAGGAGCUCCGGGAAGGACUUUUUUAAAUUCUGUGAGAGAAAAGACAUUUAAUGGCUUUUAAAGCUGUGCAGCUAGGGUUUAUAUCCAUAUUUAGUGCUGACUUUCAGAUUGAUUAUCAGCUUCUUAAAUCAAGCAAAUUGGUCUUUCUGGUAGAAAAUGUGGUUCAGGGGAGUUCCCUGGUGGCCUAGCAGUUAAGGAUCCGAUGUGGUCACUGCUGUGGUGCAGGUUGGAUCCCUGGCCUGGGAACUUCAUGUGCUGUGGGUACAGCCAAAAAAAAAGAAAGAAGGAAAAUGGGGUUUGGAAGAAAGUUAAGUCCAUGAGUCACGGGAGGCCGAGCUGCCGCGCGGAGGAAGGAACAAGGCUUUGGGGACGAGUGCUGUCCAGGUCCCAGAUCCUGCAGGUUCCCAGCAGCCUGGCGCCUGCUCGCAGAGCGGCCAGCACAGCACGCCUGGGGUUACAAGGUCCCGCUCGUCGCUGCUGGCGAGUCCGGCCCGCUCGCAGAACGUGCAGCCUGCGCCAGGUUCCAGCCCUGGGUUUUCAGUUCAAUCCCCGCUGCAGUCCUGUUCCCGGUUGCAGCCUCAGACUCCCCGUUCUGUCCCUGGGAAAGGCCUUAGCAUCGCUGUCACCAGGAGGGACAAACAGAAGAACCCUCAGCCCUGCCAUUCAGAACCUUCAUCCAAGCCAGUACUUUGCUGGCUGGUGACAGCCAGCGUGUGUGGGGACUCUUGUGCUAGACACGGGAGAACAUGGUGCUGCCCGGCCCUUCCUGCCCCUGGGGGUGCGGCCCCCUCGGGAGGGGAGCUGUGGUCCCAUCUGCUCAGGGCAGUGGCAGCCGAGCCUCUUCUCAGAGCGUGGUUAUUUAUUAACCCAUCCCCCCACCCCCACCUGCAGCAGGGUCCCCUUGUGGAUGACAGACAACCCGCCCCCUCCCCAUCUGAAACCUACGCGUGGUGGCGGGUGGCUGUGGAGGGCGAGUGGGGCCCUCGGGGCCACAGCCCUGCCGCGACGGUGAGGUCGGAGGGCCAGGUCAGGGCGCGUGCGGUGGAGCCACAGCUCAGCCACGUGGCAGGGUUUCUGCGUCCCCGGGUCGGGAUGCCCACGUGUGUCUGGGAUCCGUGACCGGGAGGACCUCCCCCAGAGGCUCCUGUCUGGACCGGCGUCGUCCCGAGGGACCCAGGGCCUGCUGGACCCCUGCCUGGUCGGGGUGAAGCUGCGGGAAGUGGGUCUGUGUAGCGUGUGGCCGGCGUGGCAGACCAGGAAGGACAGAGGCACCGAAGAGUUUUCCCAGGACGUGGGGAGAGGGAACCGGGCUGGCCCUGACUUGAGAAGAGCAGCGGGGGGACCGCGGGGCCCCACGGGUGGACUCGGAAACCUGGGCACAGCUUGAUCUCAGGAGUGCCCCUGGAGAGGAGGCCCGGCUGGUCUGAGAGCACGGGCCAGAGUCCUGUGUCCCCUGGAGCCCAGCGUGCCCCCAAGGCCGGCAAUACUGUAAAUGUCUCUUUAAGGACGAGCUCUCCUGUGGCUCAGCGGGUUAAGGGUCUGGCCUUGUCACUGCAGCGGCUCAGGUCACUACUGCAGUGUGGAUUCGAUCCCUGGCCCAGGAACUUCCGCAUGCCCCUGGCACGCCCGCCCCACCCCCCAAAAAAAAGGGAAAAGUAUUUUGACUGGUAAUUACGUGUCAGUAUCCUUAAUCAUUCUAAAUUUUCGGAUGUGGCAUAACUGUAGUUUCUAAAAUCGGGCUUCUGUUCUGUUCCAGUGGGGAGUAGGUAAUAUUAACAUGGAUUAAUAAUGCAAGUGACGCAAAAGGUCCACACUGAGCCGUCUCCCCCUCCUGCCCACCCUCCCUGCCCCUGCAGGCGGCCGCUUUUGUGGCCUUUUCCUCUAUGUUUCUUUAGUGAAAUGCAAGCAGACAGGAAUACCUAUCUCUAUGCCCCCCAUCACACAGCGUCGCAGAAGGUAGAUGCUGUAGUACGCUCUUCUGCACCUUUUAAAAAUGGACUCUAUCAGAGUUCCCGUUGUGGCUCAGGGGGUUAAGGACCCAGUGUUGUCUCUGUGAGGAUGCACGUUCAAUCCAUGGCCUCGCUCAGCAGGUAAAGGAUCUGGCAUUGCCACAAGCUGCGGUGUUGGUCACAGAUGUGACUCAGAUCGGUGUAGACUCUGGCUGUGGUGUAGGCCGGCAGCUGCAGCUCUGAUUCAACCACUAGGCUAGGAACAUCCAUGUGCCAUAGGUGCAGCCAUAAAAAUAAAUACCUAAAAUAAAAAUUUACCCCGUCUGGUGGAGCCCACAGCCUGACCGUCCCCAGAGGCCUUGCAAACCUUGCGGCUUGACCCCAUGUCCCCUGAACCUGGCACCUGAGACCCAGCUCCCUGUCGCUGGCCUUGGGUGGCCCCCAGUCUCGUGCAGGGACUGGCCUUGUUCCUUACGUGUGCAGAUGUGUCUGUGGGCAGAGACCAGAAGUGAGGUUGCAGGCCGCUGAGUAAACACACGGUCGUGUCAGCACCUUGGCCGCGAGGUGCUGGUUGCGGGCUGUGCUGUGCGGUCUCUGGCCAGCACAUGUGUGGCUGUGUCUGUUUCCCCACAGCCUUUCCAGCAUCGUUUACCCACACAUUGGGGGUUUCGCCACUUUGAGGGGAGAGAGAGGAUCUCAGUGACCGCUAAUUUGCGCUUAUUUUGAGGGGGUUUGAGCAUCUCGUGGUGCGUUGAAGGGCCCUUUGCUUUCUGUGAACUGACUCUUCUGAUCAUUUGCCCUUCAUUCUGCUCGUGGAUCUAUUUCUAGAAGCCCUUUGUGUCUUUGAGGUGUAGGUAUUAUUUUCCAGUCGGCCUUUCACCCAGAGUGCUGCUGAACAGGUGGCACUUACUGCUGAUGGUCCUCAUUUUACAGCUGACGUGCUGGCUGGUCCCUCGGGUGCUGUUGCCAAGAGCAGUGUUGACCCCUGCUUUGUGGUACUUUUAGCACAUUGCAAACGCCUUCUCACGCCGGCUCACAGAGAGCCUCCACCAGGAAGCCUUUCUGGCGAUUGUCCUUCUCUGUGAGGGAGAGAGACUCUUUUUCUCCUUUGGCCUGGCGGCGCGGUAUUCCAGACCACCUAACAUCGCAAUUCCCACUGUGGCACGACGGGAUCAGCGGCGCCUCUGUAGCGCCUGGACGCGGGGGACCUGGCACCAUGGAUUAAGCAUCCCUGUUGCCACAGUUGUGGCAUAGGUUGCAGUGGCGGCUCGGAGCUGAUUCCUGGCUCCGCAACUCCGUGUGCCGCAGGGUGGCCAAAAACGAAAAAAAUCCUUCCAUUCAUAGAUGAACCCCCGCCUAAUCAGGAUGAAUUAUUCUUUUGGCAUACGGAUUGGCUCUGUUACAAACACGUUAUUCCAGGGUUUCUUGUUGCCAAAUGCUUGUGGCCUGGCUUUGGGGGCUGGGGACACCCCCUGUUCUUUGGUUGACCCCAGUCUUCUGUGGGUUCUCUGUCCCUGGAAUGUGGCCUCUCUGUGCUCCUGCCCCCUGGGCUGCAGCCCUGGACCCGGGGCACCUCCCCGCCCCCACAGGGGAGGUAGGCGAGAAGGUUGGGGGGUUGCCCCUCUUGCCCCCAGCCCGAGCCGGCAGGGUGAGGGCGCUCUAACCAACAGUGGUGGCUGUGGGUCACCCCCGCCUCAAAUCAUACACCUGAGCCAGGACCCUCUUCCUGCCCGGGGGCCACAGCUGCUCAUCGGGGCGCCUCUGCAGGACCAGCCAACCCACCAGGCACAGCAGGUGCAGUGCCAGGUCCCACAGCACUUUUGGGGGGCCCACAAAAGUGUUUUAAUGUAUUUUAUAAUCAAAAGAAAAUAAUUCUUAGGUCAGAGUAAAUGUUUAAAUACAUAAUAUGAAUGUAUCUGCCUCUAUUGCAAUGUGGUUGUAAAAUACAUUUUUUGAUGUUUUUUGUGAAGAAAGGGCCCACAAAGGCAGGGGUACCGCAGGCCACGGUGCAGCCUGAGUGCCCCUGGCCACUGGGACUCACACACCGUCCCCCAGGUGGCUGGACCCACCUCGAAGGUGACCUCAUCCGCCCUCCCAGGGAGCAGAGCAGAGCCCGCUUUCUUCCGGUGGGUUUCCCGUUUCCAGGGGUUAUGGCUCUGAAGGGAAGCAUCUUUGGGGCCGUUUCAAUCCACACACUGGGAAGCAUUUAAGAACAGAAUUUGCAAACAGAAACUCUUAAACCCUGGCUUUUAGGCAGGCGUUAAGCUCAUUCAUAGAGUUGCAAAAUCAAAACCUCUCGGAGUUCCCGUCAUGGCUCGGUGGAAGUGAAUCUGAGUGGCAUCCAUGAGGACGCAGGUUUGAUACCUGACCCCACUCAGUGGGUUAAGGAUCCGGCGUUGCUGUGAGCUGGGGUGUGGGUUGAAGCUGUCACGCCAUAGAGCUGGCAUUGCUGUGGCUGUGCCAUAGGCCGGCUCCAACUUGACCCCUAACCUGAGAACCGCCAUAUGCCGCGGGUGCAGCCCUAAAAAGACAAAAAAAAUCAAAACCUCGCAUCAGCACGUGGACGGGCUCCUGCAGCCCUUGGUCCCCUUAGUGGUGGCCUCUGUGCCCCGCUGCCAGCUCAGCUCCCCUGUCUGGGGCCUACGGACUGGCCUCCAUCCGUCCACGAGGCCCCUCCUGCCGCCUAUAAAACGCACAUGCAGCGCAGUAUUCCCCUGUUUUCACACCUGCCAAAACAACCAUUUGUGGUUUUAAAAUAAAAUUCUUAGACUUCUUAGCAACGGAAUGAAAAGGUCACAGUUUGUAAGAGGCAAAGUGGUCUUGGGGGGUGAGCUGGACUGGGGUCCCCCAGGAGGAGCCUGGCGGGGCCCUGCCUGUGGGGCACCUCCUGGCCUCUAAAGCCCCCGGUCACAGACGCUGUCGCCCGGGGCCUGCGCGCAGAAUGAGAGGCUCGGGGUGGGCUGGGGCCGCUCGGACCUACAGUUGUUAAACUUUCUCGGACACUGAACCGAUCUUUGAAAAACAGCAGCAGAGACGAAAGCUCCUCAGUGCUUCUCUGACGACUCUGCGCCCGUCUGCGCCUCUGAGCGCGUCUGUGUGGUGGAGAUGCGAGCGUGUGCUCACCCCUUCCUGCCUCCACAUUCACUUAAGGCUGGAGUGUCUACGCCGCGGAAAUCGGCAGACUUGAUAGAGCGAAAGUGCUGAUAAAGUACAUUGGAAAUGGCCAAACAAUGGAGGCCCUUCGGCGCUCCCUUCGCGGCUCAGUGGUGAACAGACAGACCCGAUGAGUGUCCGUGAGGAUGCGGGUCCGACCCCUGACUCCACUCAGUGGGUUAAGGAUCCGGCGUGGCUGUGGCUGUGGUGGAGGCCCGCAGCUGCAGCUCCAAUUCGACCCCUAGCCUGGGAACCUCCACGUGCUGCAGGUGCGGCCU
rnacentral:lncRNA from 1 species